UCCUGGCUCAGAUUGAACGCUGGCGGCAUGCCUUACACAUGCAAGUCGAACGGUAACAGCUCUUCGGAGGCUGACGAGUGGCGAACGGGUGAGUAAUACAUCGGAACGUGCCCGAUCGUGGGGGAUAACGGAGCGAAAGCUUUGCUAAUACCGCAUACGAUCUACGGAUGAAAGCAGGGGACCCUCGGGCCUUGCGCGAACGGAGCGGCCGAUGGCAGAUUAGGUAGUUGGUGGGAUAAAAGCUUACCAAGCCGACGAUCUGUAGCUGGUCUGAGAGGACGACCAGCCACACUGGGACUGAGACACGGCCCAGACUCCUACGGGAGGCAGCAGUGGGGAAUUUUGGACAAUGGGCGAAAGCCUGAUCCAGCAAUGCCGCGUGCAGGAUGAAGGCCUUCGGGUUGUAAACUGCUUUUGUACGGAACGAAAAGUCUCGGGAUAAUACCCUGGGACCAUGACGGUACCGUAAGAAUAAGCACCGGCUAACUACGUGCCAGCAGCCGCGGUAAU
rnacentral:rRNA from 1 species